AUCGUGUUUAUUUAUUGCGAAUGGCCACCAGUGGGAUGAAUGAAAAUAUAAUGACCAUCUUGUUUAAACAAAACCCCCGAAAUCUCUAAUCGCCAGGGAUAUAAAAGUCAUAAUCUACGCCUCUUUGGAUAGACACACACCUAAUUCUGGUCGGAGAGAGAUCAAACCCACGUGACUUCGUUGAAAAUUUCUUUCAGAGAGACUUAUAGCUGCUACCUUGUACAGAGUUGUUCUCAGAAAAUACAGGCAGCAUGAGGAAAAACUAUAUACCUACAGAGUGUUUCUGCAAUGUUAACAAAGGCAUGUUUUGUGACGAGUGAUUUUAUCCAGCUAGUAUCGAAAAUGGCGCGGCUUUUAUUUACCUGCAUUUAUCUGACCUACCUUUGUCACACAGCUGCCCUGAAGUACAAACGAGUGUGCUAUUACACCAACUGGGCUCAAUACAGAAAUGGAAUCGCUAAAUUUGAACCCAGCCACAUCGACCCUUCUCUGUGUACACACAUCAUAUACGCAUUUGGGAAGUUGGAAGACAAUGGUAUUACCAACUUUGAAUGGAACGACGAAACAAGGUAUGUUGAAGUCAACGCCUUCAAAAGAAAUAACACAGGGUUGAAAACUCUGCUAGCAAUGGGAGGAUGGACGGCCGGAAGUAAGCCGUACUCGGACAUGGCUGCCUCUCCCGAAAACAGACGAACUUUUAUCAAUGCCUCCAUAUCUUGGCUCAGGAAGUACGACUUUGACGGCCUCGAUAUGGAUUGGGAAUAUCCCGCCAACCGUGGUGGGGUUCCAGAGGAUUUCAAUAACUUUCCUAUUUUGCUAAAGGAAAUUCUGGAAGCAUUUACAGAAGAAGCCAAAACCAGCGGAAAAAGUCGACUUCUGUUAACUGCAGCGGUCGGUGUAGGAAAAUCCGUGGCCGACACAGCAUACAACAUUCCGGAAAUGUCCAAGUAUCUUGAUUUUAUAUCUCUGAUGGCGUAUGACUUACGUGGCGGUUGGGAAAAAACUACGGGAUUCAACGCCGCCCUGUACAGGUCGUCUGCUGAUUCCAGUGACGAGUACAAUGUGGUACGCUCGAUUUCAUAUUAUUUAAGCAUUGAAUGCUUAUUUUUGGAUGUCGUCGGUCCUAUAACACAGCAAGCGGUGCAGACAAAUUGAAUACCACGCGUAAGUGCGGUAUACCAGUUGGUAUGCUUAGGACCGACGACAUCCAAAAAUAAACAUUCAAUGCUUAUUUUAAUUUUCAUUCUAAUGUCUAUUUGUGUGAAAUUUAUGUAUAUCGUCGCUGUAAAGCCAUUAUAUACUCUCUUAGUCAGGGAUAUGAAACAUACAGGGAACAGCCAUAUUGACAUGUUAUUUAGUUCGCUUCCGCGAGUAAAAAUAAAGCGCCAGAAACUUUGUAGAGAAAAUCUUUUUUAUUAACGAGUAGAUAUGAUUUAAUAAUUUUUUUUAUAAGUACUGUACAUAUUAGAUUGGUUAUGUAAGAUUGAACAUUUUAUUUAAUCUUACAUUUACAAAAAUGAAAAUACUCAAAACACUAGUACUUCGUUUAUAUUUGUGCUAAUAGCGCAUGAAUAAGCUAAAUGUAUUCAAAGGAAAUUGAAAGUCGUAGAUUUCCGAUGCAAACUAAGGGGAAAUAUACACUGAAUGUAAGUAUAAUGAAAUAUUUUCGGAAAUGCAUUCGAGUAGGACUACGAUCUUAAAGUCAGAGCUAUGCUAGUGGCUACCAAGUUGAAUAAUUGCAAGCCUAUACUGUGAGAACUAUAGCUUUACUUCUGCUACAAUAUUCAUAACCUGUAAUUUUCCAUAUUGCGUGUAUACUUGACACAUUUACAUUGCAGGAGAUGCAAUAAUGUACCUCAGAACUAUAUCAGGCGUGUUGUUUUGUAUCUACUCUAUUGUAGUAUACAUCUUGACCAUUGUAGCCGCAAUUAUAGCUCAUACAAUGUUGAAGAAGCCGUAGUUUAUGAUAGAUUUAAUAGAAAGUGAUACGAUACUUGGUUGUUAUGGGAAACACCAUGGUUACAUUUUUUGGCAAUAAACAAUAAGCUUCCCUAAAGAUAAUUUUGAUAUAAAGUUUACUAACCACACAAACUUUGGGCAUCUGUUUAUCUUGAUACAGUAUACUAUAUUUACAUUUCAAGCUCUCAGAGUAAAUAGUUAAAGGUCUGCCAUGUCAUGUGUACAAUGUUUAACUUCCUUUCUUCAAUUUCUUUCCCAGGCUUUUGCUGUCGAUUAUUGGUUAAGGAAAGGGACCCCAAAAGAAAAACUAAUUCUGGGAUUGGCUACGUAUGGAAGAUCAUUCAAACUUCAAGAUGAGAAUAACUUUGGAGUAGGGGCACCGGCCACAGGGGCCGGACCCCAGGGGAAAUACGUCGCAGAGGACGGGUUUCUCCCUUAUUAUGACAUAUGCGCGAGACAAGUUCAAAGAGUCGGCGAAACAUACAGAGACGAGAAGGCACAGACGCCCUUUUUUGUUCAAGAGAACAUUUGGGUUGGGUUUGACGAUCAACUCAGCAUCUAUACAAAAGUUAACGACCUUGUAAUAAGGAAACAGUUAGGUGGCGCCAUGAUUUGGGCCCUGGACUUUGAUGAUUUUAACAACAUCUGUGGGUACGGGAAAUACCCGAUCAGUAGAGUGAUGACCGAUACACUGCUGGCGUCAGAGUCGGGCAUUUCUAUCACCCCACCGUCCACACAUAUCCCUCUCUCCACCGUGGGGACAACAACUAGGUCUCCUUACCCACCACCCACAGGUGAUGGCGGGAAAACUCCGGACAGCGGGGGCGGAGGGAGUGGUCACGACGGAAUAACGUCCCUAGAUGUGGAUUGUGGCCACGAGAACGACGGCCGCUACAGAUAUCUGUCAGACUGUUCAAAGUACAUACAGUGUGUAAACGGGAAGACAUUCGUACGGAACUGUCCCACUGAUCUGGAGUUCAAUAUCGCUAUGUCGCAGUGUGACUGGGCUUCUAAUGUGAACUGUUCAUCUAUUGUGGUAACGAUACCUAAAACAACCACCUCUGUCUAUUCCAAGACAGACAACUCUUCACUGAACAUUACACCAAUAAAUACUGGGUGUCAACUUUCGCCAUAUUCUCAUCAUCUCAUAUUGUACACAUACAUGUAUUUAUUGAUAUUCUUCCUAGCAAUUUCAAUGUCCUAAAUACUAGUAUAUUAGUAUUUUUAAAAAUAUUAUUAUGUUUAACACCGCGGAAUUCAUUAAAACAUAAUUUAAUUGUUGUUUUUACAUUUACAUUAUACCAUAGAGUGCAAUAUUUUGCAUAUUUUUAGUCUUGCCACUAAUUGAUAUUGGUAUUGUUUUGCUCUAUUUUAGAUUCGUUGUAUAUCUUAAAGUCUUUGUAUAAAAAAAAGAUCGUCCUUUUUAUCAAAUAUAUUAAAAACCAUGUUGUUGUCCUC
rnacentral:misc_RNA from 1 species